GAAGAUGUAACGAACAAUUUGGUAAAAUAAAUUUGUCAAAAUCUUUAAGGGUUGCAAACGGGUAGUGGCCACAAGAAAAACAGUGUUUGGGGAGAUAACUCUUACAAUGUAAAGUAUUUUGUUACGCAGUUGUCAGUUUUAAAAGCGUAUAAACUAUACGAUAUCAUAUUCCAAAUAUCUAAGCGACAUCUUUAGAAACAUCAAUACUACGCAAGAAAAAAAUUAGGCGGAAGAAAAAAAAAAUAAAAUUAAAAA
rnacentral:lncRNA from 1 species